rnacentral:rRNA from 1 species
GACGUAGGGCGCGAGCGUUGUCCGGAAUUAUUGGGCGUAAAGAGCUCGUAGGCGGCUUGUCGCGUCGGCUGUGAAAUCCCGUGGCCAUCACUGCGGGUCUGCAGCCGAUACGGGCAGGCUAGAGUUCGGUAGGGGAGACUGGAAUUCCUGGUGUAGCGGUGAAAUGCGCAGAUAUCAGGAGGAACACCGAUGGCGAAGGCAGGUCUCUGGGCCGAUACUGACGCUGAGGAGCGAAAGCGUGGGGAGCGAACAGG